rnacentral:rRNA from 1 species
AUGAAACCACCACCCCACCACCCUCUCCUCCUCGCCAUCCGCCACCGCCGCCGCCGCCGCCACCACCACCGCCACCGCCACCGCCAGCUCUCCUCGUCCUCUGCUGACGCCGUGGCCGCAGCUGAGGUUCUGGGGACGCUCACCAGCGCGCCUUCACCUGACGCGUCGCGCGACCUCGAUUGCCUACUCCGCCGCCUAGGCGACCGCGGUCUGGCAUCCGCCCUCUCAUCCCUUCCUUCCCCCCUCCCUGCGGCGUCCGCCCUCCGCCUCCUUCACCACCUUGUUUCCAACGAUCCCUCCUCCUCCAGCCACGGCCACGGCCACGACCACGACCUCCUGUCCCCCCGCGUCUCCGCGCUCCUCCUCCCCUCCCUCGCGGCCGAUCGCUCCACACUCCCCUCCGCUCGCCGCCUAAUCAAGCGCCUCCUACAUCACCACCCCCUCCACACUGCCGCAGCGGCUGUGGCCGACGCCUCCUCCACUCCCUCAUCGGAUUUACUCCUCAGCACCUUCCUCAACUCCUCCGCACGCGGUUCCCUCAGGGGUGCCACGGACGCCUUCCAUGUGCUCUCUUCCCGGGGCGCUUCGCCCAACGUUAAGAUCUGCAAUAUGCUCCUUGAAGCUCUUGCACGCGCUGGCCAGCUUGACGCCGCUUGCAAGGUGUUUGCUGAAAUGCGUGAUCGUCAGAACGUCACUCCGAAUGCAUACUCAUAUACCUCUAUGAUCAAGGCCCUUUGCAGGGCUGGAAAGGUGGACGACGGUCUUAAGAUGCUUGCAGAGUUAGUUCAUGCUGGGCUGCAGCAAUGUGCUGGUGUAGUGCCAUACAAUCUGCUGAUGGAUGGACUUUGCAAGAGUGGAAGAGUAGACGAGGCUUUUCGGUUGAAGGAGAGGAUGGAAGAGAGCAAGGUGACUCCGAGCGUGGUCACGUUUGGCAUUCUGAUCAAUGGUCUUGCAAGAAGUCAGCGCUUUGGGGAGGUUGGUGCAGUGUUGCAGGACAUGGCUGGGUUAGGAAUCACCCCAAAUGAGAUCAUUUACAAUGAGCUUAUUGAUUGCCAUUGUCGGAAGGGGCAUUUCUCAGAAGCAAUCAGGUUGUUUGAUGAAAUGCUCCCAAAGGAGAUGAAGUCAACAGCAGUGACUUACAACUUGAUUGUUAGAGCUCUAUGCAAGGAAGGGGAGAUGGAGCGUGCUGAGAAGAUAUUGGAGGAGAUGUUUUCGACUGGGAUGGUAGUUCAUUUUGGUUUGUUUAAUUCAGUGGUUGCAGGGCUUCUCCAAAGGACUGGAAGUUUGAAGUCUGUGGUAAGGCUUAUAAGCGAAAUGAUUAUAAGAGGUAUGCGACCAAAUGAUGCUCUCAUGACAGCUUGUGUGAAGCAGCUUUGCAAGGGCGGGAAACACCAAGAAGCAGUUGGAAUUUGGUUGAAGAUGUUGAAGAAAGGUUUAUCUGUCAAUAUUGCAACUUCUAAUGCAUUGGUUCAUGGGCUUUAUGAGGGGAAGAACAUGGAAGGAGCUACUGAGGUUCUAAGGACCAUGGUUAAUAAGGGGCUUGAACUGGAUAGCAUCACUUAUAACAUAAUGAUACUAGGUUGCUGCAAAGGCGAUAAAAUAGAUGAAGCAAUUAAACUCCGUGAUGACAUGAUCAGAAGAGGGUUUAAGCCUAAUAUUUUCACGUUUAAUACAAUACUACAUGCUUAUUGCAUUUUGGGUAAAAUGGAAGAGGCCAUUCACCUGCUGGAUCAGAUGAAAAUUGAGGGACUUCGGCCAGAUAUAGUGUCAUAUGGCACUGUAAUAAAUGGAUAUUGUAAAAUAAAGGAUAUUCAUAAAGCAAAUGAAUAUUUGACUGAACUGAUGACCUGUGGAUUAGAACCAAAUGUAGUAAUCUAUAAUGCACUUAUUGGUGGUUAUGGCAGAGUUGGUAACAUUUCUGGUGCAAUUGAUGUCCUUAACACUAUGAAGUCUACUGGCAUAAGACCAACUAAUGUAACUUACUGCAGUCUUAUGCACUGGAUGUUCCAUGCUUAUCUUGUUGACGAGGCGAAGACCAUGUUUGAACAAAGCAGAGAAAACAGCAUUGAGGUGGGAGUAAUUGGCUACACAAUUAUGAUACAUGGUUUUUGCAAAAUAGGAAAAAUGGAUGAAGCUAUGAAUUACUUGGAGCAAAUGCGAUCCAGGGGUUUACCUCCAAAUAAGUUUACUUAUACCACUCUGAUGUAUGCCUAUUGUAAAUCUGGUAAUGACGAAGAAGCCUCCAAGCUUUUUGAUGAGAUGCUGAGCUCAGGAAUUGUUCCUGACAACGUUACUUACAAUACACUAGUUACAGGGUUUUCUCAAGUGGAUCCAUUGGACAAGGCUACAGAACUGCCUGCUGAAAUAUCAAGUGUUUUGACACAGAAUGAUUGUUUGUACAAUGCAUUAGUUAAUAGGAUAACCACACCUUGGUGCCAGAAAGAAGCUACUUCCAGUGAAUGA